rnacentral:rRNA from 1 species
UGACUAUAUGUUUAACGGCCGCGGUAUUUUGACCGUGCAAAGGUAGCGCAAUCACUUGUCUUUUAAAUGAAGACCCGUAUGAAUGGCUUAACGAGGGCUUAGCUGUCUCUUUUCUCCGGUCAAUGAAAUUGAUCUCCCCGUGCAGAAGCGGGGAUAUUCUCAUAAGACGAGAAGACCCUAUGGAGCUUUAGACACAAAGUAGCCCAAAUUUCACCCCCAAAGUUAAAAUUGUGAGACAAAAUGGAUGCCUACUUAAAUGUUUUUGUUGGGGCGACCCUGGGGAAAAACGAAACCCCACAUGGAUCAGAAGAACUUCUUCCACAACCAAGAGCCCCCACUCCAAGUAACAGAACCUCUGACCAUUAAUGAUCCGGUAUGACCGAUCAACGGACCGAGUUACCCUAGGGAUAACAGCGCAAUCCCCUCCCAGAGCCCAUAUCGACGAGGGGGUUUACGACCUCGAUGUUGGAUCAGGAUAUCCUAUUGGUGCAGCCGCUAUUAAGGGUUCGU